GGUCGCGUCUCCCCGCCGUUAAAGGCUCUACGUGGCUCUGCCGCCUAUUCUGUCGGGUUGUGACCUGUACCGAUCGUGGGAGUCAUAGGAAGGACGCAGGGGACCCGGGAGACUAGAAAUGGACUCAGUGGCCAUUGAGGAUGUGGCUGUGAACUUCACCCCAGAGGAGUGGGCUUUACUGGAUCCUUCACAGAAGAAACUCUACAGAGAUGUGAUGUGGGAAACCUUCAGGAUCCUGGCCUCAAUAGGAAAAACAUGGGAAAAUUAUGAUA